AAAGAAAGUUGAGGACUAAAAUGGUAGAUCUGAAAGUUGAGAGAUGAACUUGACCUUAGUAUAAAGUUUAGGGACCAAUUUGUCUAUUUUGCCUUUUUAGACAAAGCUAAACCAAUACCUUGAUGACCACAGCAUUGUACGAAUAUCACCUUUUUCUCCUUGAUGUACUCCAUUUGUCCAUUUACUCAUUACGGGAUUGCUUAGUAUAUUUCAAAUUAUAUUUCACUUUAGUUUAUUCCUAGACCAAACUUCUCAAAUUUAGACUAAGUUUAUAGAAAAAAGUACCAGCAUUUACAACAACCAGUUAGUUUCAUUAAAUCCACC
rnacentral:lncRNA from 1 species